rnacentral:rRNA from 1 species
AGUGAACGCUGGCGGUAGGCCUAACACAUGCAAGUCGAACGGCAGCACAGAGGAGCUUGCUCCUUGGGUGGCGAGUGGCGGACGGGUGAGGAAUACAUCGGAAUCUACUCUGUCGUGGGGGAUAACGUAGGGAAACUCACGCUAAUACCGCAUAAGACCUACGGGUGAAAGCAGGGGAUCUUCGGACCUUGCGCGAUUGCAUGAGCCGAUGUCGGAUUAGCUAGUUGGCGGGGUAAAGGCCCACCAAGGCGACGAUCCGUAGCUGGUCUGAGAGGAUGAUCAGCCACACUGGAACUGAGACACGGUCCAGACUCCUACGGGAGGCAGCAGUGGGGAAUAUUGGACAAUGGGCGCAAGCCUGAUCCAGCCAUACCGCGUGGGUGAAGAAGGCCUUCGGGUUGUAAAGCCCUUUUGUUGGGAAAGAAAUCCAUCUGGUUAAUACCCGGGUGGGAUGACGGUACCCAAAGAAUAAGCACCGGCUAACUUCGUGCCAGCCGCCGCAGUAA